rnacentral:rRNA from 1 species
CCUACGGGUGGCAGCAGUGGGGAAUAUUGGACAAUGGGGGGAACCCUGAUCCAGCCAUGCCGCGUGUGUGAAGAAGGCCCUCGGGUUGUAAAGCACUUUCAGUGAGGAAGAACGCCUGGUGGUUAAUACCCAUCAGGAAAGACAUCACUCACAGAAGAAGCACCGGCUAACUCCGUGCCAGCAGCCGCGGUAAUACGGAGGGUGCGAGCGUUAAUCGGAAUUACUGGGCGUAAAGCGCGCGUAGGUGGCUUGAUAAGCCGGUUGUGAAAGCCCCGGGCUCAACCUGGGAACGGCAUCCGGAACUGUCAAGCUAGAGUGCAGGAGAGGAAGGUAGAAGUCCCGGUGUAGCGGUGAAAUGCGUAGAGAUCGGGAGGAAUACCAGUGGCGAAGGCGGCCUUCUGGACUGACACUGACACUGAGGUGCGAAAGCGUGGGUAGCAAACAGGAUUAGAUACCCUUGUAGUC